rnacentral:lncRNA from 1 species
AUCAUGCCGCUGUGACGCAGCAAAAUGUUGGAUAUAGUUAUUCUUCUCAUGCCAAUCGUCCGCAGCAUGUUAGCCAAUCGCCAGUACCACCAAUUGAUCAUUUUCACCAGCAAAGUAGAUACAGUAGUUACCCCAAUUAUCAUGAACCUUAUGAGCCAGGAAGCUAUCACCCACCUUAUGAGCCAGGAAGCUAUAACCCACCUUAUGAGCCAGGAAGCUAUAACCCACAGGAUGGUGGAUGGGCCCCACAAGUAAACCAAAAUGCUGGUCGGGGUUAUGGCAAUCCACGUCCCUCCAGCAAUCACUUCUCGGCUUUAGGAAGAGGAAACGAUAGAGGGCCACCAUCUUCAGGCUAUCGCCGUUAGAGGUAUCAUCAU